rnacentral:rRNA from 1 species
UACGUAGGGUGCGAGCGUUUAAUCGGAAUUACUGGGCGUAAAGCGUGCGCAGGCGGUUCGUUAUGUCCGAUGUGAAAGCCCCGAGCUUAACUUGGAAAAUGGCAUUGGAAACUGGCGGGCUGGAGUGCGGCAGAGGGGGAUGGAAUUCCGCGUGUAGCAGUGAAAUGCGUAGAUAUGCGGAGGAACACCGAUGGCGAAGGCAAUCCCCUGGGCCUGCACUGACGCUCAUGCACGAAAGCGUGGGGAGCAAACAGG